GGGCGUUUAGCUCAGUUGGCUAGAGCGCUUGCUCGACAAGCAAGAGGUCACUGGUUCGAGUCCAGUAUCGCCCA
rnacentral:tRNA from 1 species